ensembl:lncRNA
CUUCAUCACAAUCUUGAUAUAACCAUUAAAUAUCUCAUCAUACAGACAAGAAAAUCACUUUUCAGAAAUGUUAGGCUGCUGGCCAUGAGUCUUAUCAAUGGUAGUAUCAGAGUUAGGACUUGAAUCCAGUCAUCUGAUUCACAGUGGUUUAAAGCAAGACUGUAAAUAUUUUUUUGGUUUUUGAGCUAUCGGUCUGUUUUUUAACUAUUCAGUUGUGCCUUUUGUGCUUCAAAGCAACCAUACGUUUAUGAAAAUAAAUGUGCUUGACUGUGUUCCAAUAUAAUCUUUUUUGUGAACAUUGAAAUUUAAAUUUCAUAAAAUGGUUCCAUGUCACAGACAUUAUUCACCAUUCAAGUUUUAUCAAUAUUUAAUGAUGUUAAAGCAAACUUUAAGCUUUAUCCAGGCAAUCAAAGGUAAUAUCAUCUGUGUAAAGAUAUGUUAAUAGCAUAUCUAUACCCUUGAUAUGAUGUGAUAAGAAUGGCACUUUAUACCAGUGGGCUUCUCCCCAGAACUUAUAUACUUUGUCUUACAAUGAGAAGAACAUCAGAUUCAAACUGAAGGACAUUCUAUAAAAUGCCUGGUCAACUUCUCAAUACAGGAUUGUCAAGUUCAUUAAAAACAAGGAAACCCUUACCCAUUGGGUGCCAAAAGAGAUAUGAUGACUAAAUGUAGUAUAGUAUCCUGGAUGGGAUCCUGGCAUAAAGAGAGGAUAUUAAGAAAACACCAAGGACGUUGGAACGAAGCAGUUAUAUGAUACAAAAUGGCAUAUCCAUCAACGAUAGAUGGCAUAUAUAACAAUGGUCCUAAUAGAUUAAAAUGAAGAGAAAAAUUCCCAUUGCCUGAUGAUGUCAUAGCUUAAUGCAUUAUUCAUGUGCUUGUGGUCUUUCUGGUAUAAAUAAAGCUGUUUAGAUAUACAUAGAUACACAGAUGUCAUUGAGUUACAAUAGCUCACAGUUUUCAUUACAGUAAUAUGCCUAAGUGGAACAGUAUAUACCAUAUAGCCUAGGUCAGUGGUGGGAAACCUAUGGCAUGUGUGUUACUUGUUUUUCAAGACAAAAGAUGUUAAUUUAUGAGUUGCUUUUUUCUAAACUGAAACUUCACCAUUCAGAUUUAAUUGCAUUGUUGACACUUUGUGAUAAAUACGUGGGUUUUGGAUUGCAGUUUGAGCACUUGUUUCUAAAAGGUUUGCCUCACUGGCCUAGGUGUAUAGUGGACUGGAACAUCUGCCUUUGUGAAAAUGGACUCUGUUGUGUUCAUAGAAUAAUAAAACUUCCUAGUGAACCAUUUCUUAAAAUGUGGUCCUAUUGUUAAACAAUGCAUAAGUGUAUAUACUUUGGACAAAAAUGCAUCAAUAUUGGUUCAUUAGUUGUGCCAAUUGUACUGUAGUAAUUUAAGGUGGCAACAAUGAAUGAAUCUAGAUGUGAAGUAUGGAAAUCUUCUAUGUUAUUCUUGAAAUUUUCUAGUAAAUCUAAAAGUAACCUAAAUGAUAAUUAAUUUUAUAUAGAUAGAUAUAGUUAUAAAGAGUUUUCAAACUAAAACAAAAAUGGAACUAUCCUCCUUAUUGGGUUGUUCAGAGGAGACUAUGUACAUGAAAUUAUUUUGUAAAGUGCCAGGUCUUAACAUUUUAGCUUUAUUCACAUGUCCAUUAUAUGUUUGCUUAAUCUAACAAAUUUUUACUGAGCUGACAAUAGUGUAUUAGACAUUUUGCCAAAUUUUGAUUAGUAAAGGUAAGAAGGAUACAAGCCUUGUCUUUGAGGAGCUGGAAAUUUAGAAAAGGGUUUAGUAUUAGUCCAUAUAUAUAUAUGUGUGUGUGUGUGUGUGUGUGUGUGUGUAUUCAAGACAAAAGGUGUGUAAAGGAGGGAGAGAUGAAUUGUUUCAUCAGGAGAAGAGAGUAUUUCAGCUGAGAAAGUGAUUUUGAACUGUGUCUUAAGUAGUAAGUAGGAGCUCACUGGGAUAUAAAGCUUAAGAGAGAAUGGUGGGGCUUGGGGAAACUUGGAUAAUCAAAGAAGAGGGAAAAACCUGAACAAAAGGCUACAUAUACGAAGGAACGCGGUAUGUUCUGAAAUCUGUAUGAAGUUUCUUAUGCCUGGGCCACAUGAUAAUAUUAUGAUAUUUACCAAACCCUCAGUCCAAACCAAACAAGAUACUGGAAUUUUACACACACAAAUUCAUUAUUUCUUAUUACCUGAUUUGCUCUUAAAGUGUAGUUUUGUUAUGGGCUGAAUUGUGUCAAUCCUAAAAUUCGCAUAAAAUUUUAAUUUCUUAUGUCAGAAUGUGAUUUGCAUUUAGAAAUAGAGUCUUUAUAGAGGUAAUUAAAUUAAAAUUACAUCAUUAGAGUAAGCAGUAAUUCAACAUGACUGCUGUCCUUUGGGGAAUAGGAAAUUUGGACACAGGUACAGAAGAAAGCAAUCCUGAUAAUAUCUCGGGUUCACACUUAAGUCUCCAGAAUAAUGAGAAAAGGAAUUUCUACUGUUUAAGCAUCCCAGUGUGUAGUACUUUGCUAUGGCUCUGGGCAGAUCUGAUCCAUAGUGAAAAGUUUUAUUGCAAAGGUGAUGAAUUAAGUGCUGAAUCAAUUUUGUCCUGCAUCCUCUAGGACCCCAGAAAUUUCAGAACUGAAUUUGGAAGACAGACAUGAGCUAGAUAAAUGUGUAAAAUGUAUUUACAAGUGAACAGUAUUUGUGUAGAAGCUGAAGCUCUGAAAUUUUAUAAAAUUACUCAGACAGAGGCAUAGAUUAAAAAGAUGAAGGCCAAGGACGGGUUCUGGGGACACCUCCCAAAUUAAAGUCGCUGUGUGUGUUUACUGACAAGUAUGCUUGCAGGUACCAGGUAAGGCUUUCACUAACAAGGUCAUUUAGGGACACAUUACAUUUUGGAGAGAAAAUCCUCCAUAAUUGAAACAUGUCUUGUGAUUAUCCUCAAAAUAAACAAUUUUUCCAUUUCAGUCAAUUUUUCCCUGUGAUCAGCCACAAACAUACUUGUCAAAACCCUGUAUAGAAACAGGCUGUGGUGUCCCCAACCCCCAAGAGAAGUAAAAAGAGCAAAAUAAAGCUCUCUUUGAAGCAAAUGUGAGCUAAAAAUGUAGGUUACAGAAAUCAUAGGUCUUUAUGUGCUAGUACUGCCAUGCUUUGAAUGUCUCUAAAUGCUGUAAUUUCCAUAGAUAACCUGAGAAAUAGGGAUAUCUAUGAAAGCUAGUUUGAAAAAAAGAACCGACAACUUCAAGGCUUUAGUGCGAAAUAAUACAAUGUCUGUGUGAUACUUUAAAAAAUCAUAAGGCAUUUUCAACUUUAAAAUUACCUCGGUGUGUGUGUGCAUGUGUGUAUGUGUGUAGUUUUAAUACCACAUUUUUAUACAUCUUCCUAUUUCAAAACAUUACUUAACAAGUAAAGAUGAAUGUCUCUCUUUUAUCUAAUUUGUACUGGCCUUCUAUGUAUGAGAUGUGAUUAAAAAUAUGGUGAAAGUAUAAAUUGGAAAAAAUCAUUACAGUAAAAGACACAUUGCCAUAAAUCCCCCUCACUUUAAAUACACUUAUCCUAUCAUUUUUGCCACUUCCUGAAAUAGUUCUGCAAGUUCAACCCAGUUGGGUUAUCAUGGUUGCCUGGGUGUCCUAAAUAAACUCAAAAUGUUUACUUUUCAUGGUCAUUUUGAUUUUUGAGAAGAGCCCAAGGUUGCAGAGUGCCAGCCAGAUCUAGUAAAUAAGUUGGAAGAGAACAUAUUAUAAUUAUUUUUUUAUGAGCCUGCCUUUCCAUUGGAUGGCACUUGACAGCAACACUCUCUCUCUUUUUAUUUUAAUCGUACCUCCUAAGGACACUCAAGAAAGAAGACUUCUAGAGCUGCUUCAGAAAGUGUCAAGAAAAAUGAUAAGUGUGUUUGAAGUGCAGCUGGUGUUUGGGGGGAUAUUUUGAAGGAAAUUAAUGAAAAUGUGUCUUUCACUGUAAGAAAUUAUUUUUAAUUUAAACAUUCACUAUGUAUUUUGAUCAUACUUCAUAUGUAUACAGUUUAAUAAUCUUGUAAAAAUAGAAUUCAUUAAUUAUGCCAAAAGCAAAGAUGUUAAAAGUCUAGGGUUAAAAUUGGCCUCAUUUAAGCUUUAUGGGAAGCCACCAGUGGUCAAAACCAAUUCAGGUAAUCUUUUGCUUCCUCUUUCAAGCCUCCUUCCUCUGAAGUAGCCCACAAUUUCUGGCAAUUUUUCUUUCAUGGAGGCAACAUAACAGUGGGAUCUCUAGCUUUUCAUGCAAUUUCAAAUAUUCAAGCAAAAUUCUCCUUUGAUCUCACUGUGCUCAUUAAUAAAUCAGUCACAGUGGUCUGUGCUCACAUGAUGUGCUCAUUUGCCUAAGAAUGGUUAAUGUGUUCCAGUUUGAUUUUCUUCCAUAUUGCUGAUAAUUUAAAGGAAAGCAUAUCUAUAAAUAUCUGAUAUUGUAUUAACAGUGCACAAAUUCUCAGUAGUUUAAAAAACAUUCAUAUACAUACACACAAAUAUAUGAGUGUGAAUACAUAUAUAAAUUUAUAAGAAAAAAAUUAAGAUACAUCAUGUACAGGUACAAAUUCCAUAUGAUGAAUGUGAUCAUUAUGUAUAUCUAAAUUGUACCAAAAAGCUUAAUUAAAAAAAGAAAAUAUAAUGUAAGCAAAACAAUAAAAUUUUAGGGUAUUCUUAAUGUUGUUUUAUUUGUGUUAUGAGAGAGUGAUAUAGAAGGGGCAAGAGAUAAGUAGUUGAAGACAUUUGGUGUUUCAAUAUUGUAAGUAGAAUACUUCAGAAAGAUAGUUUUCUGUAGCAUUAUAUGAGGAUAAAGAACUAUUUGGGAUGUUUUGUGAAACAGUAUGUUAAAACGCUGUUCUAAAAUUUCUGUUUUAGAAUCAAUCACCUGAUAAGUAUUAAAUCUUAUUUAUAUUUAUAUAGAAAAUUCAAGUAAUUCAAGGCUAUAACAAUUUCAAUUUAAGUAAUAAAUAUUAUUUGGUAGGGAUGGUUAACUGGAGACAGGGAGAGCGUAUUUCUGAGACUUGUGUGGGUAUGCAUGCACUGUUUGUGUGUGUGUGCAUGUGUGUGUGUCUGGGCCUCAGUCUGACAGAACUGAAUAGCACCAUAUAUAAUCCACAGAAGUGUUUCAUAUGAGUAAUUUUUUGGAUGGAGGAGAGAUCCUCAAACAGUAUUUCUGGCUUUUGAAGAAAUACCUACAGUGUCUUCAUGUGGGAUAAUUCCUACUAAAAAUGUUCUGGCAUUCUAGAAAACAGGAAAAUUGUGAUCAUUUUUUCUUCUUCUGGGUGUGUCUUUUUUCCCUCUAUCCCUCUCUCCUAUAUUUCCCUAUCCCAUGUAGUACUUUGUCAAGUCACCUAAACGUUCCCACUACAAGUGUUCCUUCUCCCUGGGGCUCUGAAGUUUCUAUACCUUUACUAACAGUAAUUUUAUUAUGUACAAAACACUCUGAGAUCUGGAAAGGGCAUCUUUCUUUGUAAGGGGCAUCUGUCUUUGCCUUACAUUGAUGAGUGAGAGGUAGCAAGCUUGUGACUUGGCAAAGUCCUUAAAAUGAGGUAGUGUAUGACCUAGAACAAGAAUUCAGGACGUUUUUUCUAAAUCCAUUUCACAAAAAUAUUAUUUUAUAUUACUCAAAUUAUCUGUCUUACAGUCCACAAAUAUGUAUACUUUCUGAGCUCAAUUUCUCUUGUUUUUUACAUAAUUAUUUCCAGGUUGUCUUCUGGCAAUGGGAUUUCUGAUAUGAUCAAUCUCACAAAAUUUAAUUCUCUUCCUAUUUCUAAGCUUGAACCUCAUAUAAUAAUGGCAAUAUAAUUAUAAUAACAUAACAUAUUUUGAGUGCUCACAAUAUGUCAACCAUGAAAUAUUUUACAACUAUAUCCCUUUUCCAUUUUUACAUAACUCUAUGGAGUAGAUAGUAUUGUUUUCCUUAUUUACUUAUAUGAAGGAGGUUUGAAGAAGCUAAAUAAUCUCUAAAGUCAUACUGUUGUUUAAUAAUGGAAAUAUGACUGAACUCAGUCCAUUUGAUUUCAAAGUUGAAUCCCUUAUCUACCUAUAUCUCCUGACCAUGUUGAAGUUUCCACAUUUUAAACCAUUAUACCAUGCGGCUGACAGUCUGUCCAAUGUUAUAGCUAAGAAAGUCUAAUGCUAAAUGAAUGUUUACCUGAAAUGAAGACACUAUGAGUUAUCUCUACUUCUCUCUCAUUUUUGCAAUUCUAGCCCCAAAUGAAAUAAUCAGCUCUGAAUGCUUUUUCAACUACAGCACUGAAAUUGGAGAGAGGAAAGGGAGUACCUAGAAGACUGAAGGGAAGAUAAAGGGCAACAAGGAGAAAGAAUCAUUGGGGUUGGACUUCUGUCCAGGAAGACUCGGCUUGGUGAGAGAGUGGGGUAUAUACUCAAAGAAAUCAGGAAGAAUGCCUGGAGUAAUUUUAAGAUAAAUUAGGAGAGCUCUAAGGUCUGGUUCCUUCAAUUAUUUGUAGUUAAGACAUCAUUAUGAAUAAUUAAUGAGCAGCCAUAUGGCACAUCUUUAAAAAUCUAACCAAUAACUACCAAUUAUUCAGUAAGGCUGCUCAUGGCAUAUCCAGGUGGCUGCAACAAUAUAAUCCCAUUUGAAUGGAAUUAUAAAGUGAAACAACAAAGCACAAAGCAACCACUUCCCUUACACAUAAAGACACACAUGCAGCACAGGCACACACACACACACACGCACACAUAUUACUCCUCUCAAACAUGUCCAGUAUUUUUUCAUUUAUUAGGCAGAUUUAUGAAAUGGAUAAUUUGAAAUAAAAUAUUUUCAUUCUUGAUGCAAGCUAAAGAUACUGACUCUGGCUAAUUUAGGCAAUAAAAAUGUUACAUGAAGGAUGCAAAGAUAGUUGACAACUAAAAAAGAGUCUAAAACUGAUAUUAGUCAGGAAGGGCCGAGCAGCUCUGUGUGGUCCCUUUUGGAUACAAAUGUACUGUAUGCUUGUGCUGGAUAGUUAAAAGCUCUGUGUCUGGAUUUGGGCUGAAUAGCUAUGGUAAAAAAGGCUUGAAUUAAAUUUAAUUCAUGUUUAAUUGAAUGCUAUCUUUUGCCAGGGAUUACUCUGGGACAAUGAUGGUAAAAAGUUUAGAGCUUUCAAUGAUAACAAACAGCCCACUGUGGCACAGGUGCCGUAGAUUUGCCACCACCACUCUGGGAUCUUGUGAAAGUUAGUAAAAUAGACAAGUUGUCUGUUAUUAUAGAGCAUACACUUUAGGGUCUUAAGUAAUGUCUUUCAUAGGGUGGUGGACUUUUUUGAUAACAUUCUUUGUUCAGUGUUACUUAUCUUAAAUUUAAGAUUAUCUAUCUUUUGAGCAGUAAAACACAUUUUGAUAUAGAAUUCUAUUUUCUUUUCUUUGACUUUUAAGAAGAGGAACAAGCUACUAAUCCAUCCCAGUUAAUGAAAAAUACACAAUAAAUAUGUAACUGUAUUUGUAGUCUCAGUUACUGUCCAUGUUGUUGAGACAAAAUGCCCAACGCUCACAAGUUAAAGGAGGAAAGGUUUAUUUCAGUUCACAGUUUGUAGAGGUUCCAGUCCAGUCAACUAGCUCCAAGGCAGGGAGGCAUGGUACGGGGGCAUCAUAGAGGAGAAACAGUUCAUGACAAAGCAGGCAGAAGGCAGGAAAGCAGCAGCAGCAAACCUAUCUUUCCUUUUUAUGUCAUUCAGGCUACCAGCCUUUUGGGUGGUUCCACCUACACCAAGGAUAGGGCUUCUGUCUUCAGUAAAUCCAUUUAGCCACACCUAGAACUAUCCCCAAUCAGUGGACUAAUUUAGUACCACACACCCUUAACUCAAGUAUCACACCUUUAAACCACAUUAACACACCCUAGAUCCAGCCACCUUGGAAAAGCCCCGCUUACAAGUGCAUGAGGCUUUGGGAGGGCAUUUAAAUUUAAGCCACAACACUUGUAUUUGCCUAAAUACAAAAAUAACUAAACUGUGCUCUUUGCCACAACUGAGUUUAUACUUUAAGAAUCUGAUGUUACACAAUGAGUUCAGGUAGAUUAAAACUGCUUAGUAUAAUUAACAUAAACACUAUUAAAUAAACAAAGAAACCCCCUAGAGUAAAAUCUUAGGAAUUAUCCAUUCAAUGUGAAACUGACCAGGAUGUACUUCAAUGUCUCAGAAUCCAUGUAACCUGACCACAAGACCUUUCAAAAGUGCUUUGGGAAACACCAAAACAGACGAAAAGCAUAUGACUAGCUUUAACAUUUAUCUUAAGAAGAAUAAUUCACAAAAGGCAACUUACAUUUGAAAAUUCAUCUUCAUUAAAAUAAAAACACAGGAUAUAUUAAUAAAAUAAUAAAAGUUAAGGUAACUUGUGAAUUCACAAUAACUGUUUUUAGUAUGAUCAAAAUGCUAUUACAAAUAUUGGAAUCAAUUUAAAAGAAGAAUUCUUUCUCAUCCAGUGAAUCAUCAAAAACUUCUUUUAUAUCCAAGUUCAUUUGAAGGACAAUAUCACAUCUUGGGAGUUUAGUUUUGUGUCUUCCCCUACCAGCCCCUGUAAAGAAUAUAGAAGAGCAGAGAGCUUUCUGUAUUUGGAUUCCUCUUUCAUUUCUGGCCUUAGCAGAAACAGGAUUCCCUGCUCAUUCCUUCAUUACACUUCACACACAGCUGUGCAAAACAGGGACGUGCACACCACUGGAGAUGUUAAUGUUGCAGUGCCCUGCUCCUGCUGCUUAGCUGCAGGAGGAGCUCUUUAAUGAACUCAGCAGAGCCAGAGUCCAUGCUAUUCAUUGCUAGUCCAGAGCAUUGUUUAAUAUAACCUUGGGAUUUUAGUUCCCUUCAGAAAUAUGGCAGGAUUUUUCUUAGUCUAAGGCAAAUGGUGAUGAAUGUCAUAAUUAAACAUUGAAGGGUAUCACAGUUGAAUUCUCAAUGAACAACUUUUUUUUUUUUUUUGGUCUUAAUUACAUAGAUUGGAGAGGGAAUGCCUCUCCAGAAGUGGACAGAUACUUCCCAGGCACUCUGAUUUUUUUCUGAGUCUGUUAUCUUUGCUGUCUAAUAAGGAUCUUUGGGCAAGCAGAAAACAGUCUGUGAAUCAUUCCAAAGCCUGCACAGACAUAAUGACCACCAGUGGUUCUGUCCAUCCCAUUCACCCCAGGGAAAUUUAUCACGUGAGUUUAGAAAAGUACAUUUGUCUCUGCAAAGGGAAAGAGGAAGAUUAUAUAUUAUAUUAUGCUAAUUUUUCCACUAUUUCCAAAUUAGGUCCUUGGGCUGUAAGAUUCCCCUUAAAGUGGCAUUCCUUCUUGCACAUUUGCUGCAGAAGUAAUAGGCUUCAAAAUAAUAAGCACAACUUCUCCCACUCUUAUGUAAAUUAUACUUUGACUGCUCAGAAGAGAUGAUUUGGGAUCAAAGGAAGUAGAAAGGAGAGUGCUUCUCAAAUGUGACUCAUGAGUUUUAGCUAGAGGACCCCUGACUUACAAGUUGCCACUGAUUAAAACACUGCUCAUUUUUUUGACAGUGCCUUGUGUGGCACUCUGCUGCUGUACUGUGGGGAAUUAGUCAUGUGUUGUCUGAGUAAAGAAUUCUGGAGCAUGAUGUGCUACCUAGAGCUGGGAAUGUAAAAAGGAUGUAUCAACUGUAGUACAAAAGAAGUACAGAACCAAUAGUCAGAAAGCCCAAUUUGAUCCUAGACUUUAUUGUGAGGAAUAAUCUUGGAAAUUAUUCUGAGACUAAUUGUUUUUUAGUAAAAGAGAACAGUAAAAAAACUACAGGACUUAAGAGUUUUUGACUACUACAAAGCAUUAUGAUCCAGAACAUGGUGCUUAUGUGGGAAUUGUGUUCUUUGCAAAUUACGACCUGUGUGAUUAUUGCCUAACCUCUCUGUAAACUUCAGUUUGUUCUCAGGUAAAAUCUUGCUUGCCUUCAGGAAUUUUUGAAGUAAUUAAUGAGACAAUCUACAUAAAAUUUUAAAAUAGUGUUAGUCACAGAGCCAUAGUUCUUGUUGCUAUUAUUGCUAUAAUUAUGAUUAUUUAUUAUGCAAAAAUGAAAUGAAAUAGUGGAUAAAAAGUGUCCUGUCUAUUCUAAAGUUCUAUAUGCAUUGUGAUAAUUGCAUAACAAUUUUGUUAAUAAUUUAAUUUAUUAUCAUUUAAACCUCAUACUUACUUGAUAAAAACGUAAAAUUUCAAUUUUCAAUAAUAGGCUUCUAUAUUGUGCUAUGAAGAUAUUUUACUUAAAUGUCCUGUGAAUCUUGUUCCUAUAAAAUGUAGAUACUUAGUUUGUACUCAAGAGAUAUCCUGUUAUUUUCAAGCGACUACCCAAACAGGAUUUUGUACAGGUUAAGCACUCAAUCACUUUCUAAUUUAAAAAGGAAAAAAGUUACCAUUUAUACUGUGAUACUAUGUCCUCAAAGUCGUAUAUUUAGUCAAUCAAAUGAAUUCAGAGACACUUUAUGGAGACAUUUGGGAUCAUGAAGGUGGAGUUUCUAAAUAAUUGAACGAUAACAGUUAAUCACUUUUUCAACUACUUUUAAAGAAAUUAUUCUACAUUAUAUAAUUUCCCACUUUCCUAAAAAUAUGAAUUACAAAAUGACAUUUUCUCAGUGAUUCAAGAUAAACAUGAUGGCAAUUGGCAAUUACAUUAAGUCAUUAUGUACUUUUUAUUUUCCUCUUUUUCGUUGUUUGGCUGUCAACUGUCACUUCCAGGGUUCUAAUGGCUUCCUAUGGCCAUCUGUCUUCUGAUUUACUGCUUCUAAUCUGCUGGUCUAUGAGGAUUUGCUUGAUUAAGAAACUUAGUCUUAUGUGUAAAUGAAGAGAAUAUUUUCCUUUUCCCAGAAAUACUAAAUUUUUCGUAAAGGGGUUAGAAUAGUUAUUUUAAGAGUUAAAAGGCUUCUUCUAUUUAUUUCUAGGUACUCAAUUAUUCUAAUAAUGAGUGAAGUUUUCAGAAAAAAAAUGAUUUUCUCAUAUACAUGGAACUAAGUUAAAGGGGAUUUGGGGAUAAAAUUAUUUUCUAAUAAAAUAAUAGCAAAUUUAUUGAAUAGUCUUAAUUGAUAUGAUCUUUUGAAUAUUCUAAUAAUAAUAAUGGUAUAUAAUGUUAUUGAAUAGCUACUAUGGGCCAUAAAAAACGUUUUUAUUAUUUUAAAAUUUAUUUCAUUUAACUAAUACUGAUGUAAUAUUUAUAUCUCAGGCACUACUAAGUCAUUUAAAAUCAUUAGCUUAUUAAAUGUUACAAACUUUUGCAUGCAAUAUACUCAUUCGUGUCUCACAAAUAUUUUUAUUAAUGAUUUAUAGAUGGGAAAACUGACACAUUCUCUCAGUUCUAGACUUUUGUCAAGGCCUCACAUUGAGCAAGGAAAAGUAGAGCCAGCACCGAAAUACAGGGUGAUAUGAUGCUUACAAUGUGAUCUUAUACCAUAAGUACUCCAUCAGACAUUGAGCAAUGAAAAUAGAAACCAUAUCCUCAGAGAAUAUGAAUCCAAUAUUACUAAACCUAAUGGCUCUGCACAAAAGUGGGAUGAUCCUUUACUGAAAUAAAAUGGAAUUUGAGGAGCUUUCCAUUAAAAAGAAGUAGGCUUGGAACAAAAGUUUAUGAAUGUAAAGCAUCCACUUUCACUUUGGAGUGUGCCCUCAUCUAGCACUUGAUUUGAUCUACAGGACAUCUAUACUGGUUUUCUCACUGUGUUCAUACUUCCACUAGAUCUCCAGGCUUUGGGAUUAAGUUAAUUGGUUCAACUUCAGGUUCUGCUGUCUGAAUCUGGAAGUUACGUUGCCUGAGAAACUUCCUCAUUUGUGGAUUGGUAACAGAACACCUGAGAGUCAAAUGAAAUAAUAGUUCUUAGCAGACAGCAUGGCUUAAAUAUAUGUUAUUAAUAUCAUCAUUUUGAAAAUGCGUUCCACGGAAUUCUGGCAUUAUAAACAUAUCACCAAAAAAUCAAAUAAAUUUGGGAAAUAAUACUUUCUUACUUUCCUCAUAUCAUAAUAAAAGCACAUUAAGAGUAAUGAGAACAUGCUUAAUUUUCUUUAGCUCAAUAGUUCCCACAUUUCUUUGAACAAAGAGCUCAUAUGAGUUUGUGUGCAUUUAUGGUGUGUACAUGUGUUUGUGUGUAUAAACCACCAAUCAUAGUACUAUUUCAUAGGGCACAUCAUUAGGAAAUGCUAUCCUUUACUAAAAUAUCUUACAUGGGAGUGACAGAAACAUGUGGAGACUGAUAUGAUUUUUCCAAAUCUAGAUUGUGUCAAUAAAUUUAAACACUAUUCCUGCUAAUGGGACUGAGGAUAUUGGAAUUUAGAUCUUCUGUAGUUGACUUAAUGUGUCAUUAAGAAAAACUCUUUGGUUUGACCUUCUGAACUGCAAACAUUACUACCAUCAUCAGGAUCACAAUGUGGUCAUCAACAUAUCCUCACCACUAUAUAAUCAGAGCUUAAAUGUAUACCAACUAUGAUUUACUUACCUCAACCACUUUGUCCUAACAGCCACUCUGUGAGGUGGGCAUCCCAUUCUGAUUUUUAUAUAUGGAAUUCAGACUUCAUGAGGUUUUAUGCCCAAGAUAAAAGGACUAAAUAUAGGAUAUACCACUCUUGAUACCUAUCUGUCCUGUAAAGCAGGUUAACCCAUUACUAGUGAAAAUAAUUACCACUGAGGAAGUUAUAACAACAGUUCACCCAGGGGCUGAGCCCAUAGUGGAUUGGAUAUUUCAGAAGUAUAUCCUCCUAGGAAGUGAGUUUCCUCAUAGCUGUACUUUUUCUAUGUGUAUCAGACAAAUGGGUCUUCAAAGGCUCAAGCUGUAGGGAUCCUGAAAGCUGCAGGGGUGAGCAUGGCACAUUUCAUGAUGGGGAUCAUUUUGCUCAAAAAAGCACAGUCUCUUUCUGUUUAAUUUCUGAAGAGUGAAUCUGAACUUCCUCACAUUUACUAAAAUUAUGAUCUGUUAUAGCCUUUUAGGGUUCAGUGAAAGAUCCAGACUUAAACUUGGAGAUCUUCAGUGAGUACACAGUGUGACAGGGACAGUUAUGUAGGGCAGUGUCCUGCAAACUAUGCCUGGGCAGCAAAUCUGGCCUGUCACUUAGUUUUGCAUGAUCUGUGAUCUUAGAAUAAUUUAGCUCAGUGGUUUCUCAGCCUGCUGUGCAUGCGCAAGGACCCGAGUUUGAUCCCUGGUACCCCCCCCCCAGAAAAAAGAAUGCUUUUAACAUUUUAAAAUGUCUAUCCAUGUACCUAUAUAAUAGCCUCAGUUUUAGUUUUUGGAUUGUGAGGCUUAACACAUUUCUCUGAUCUUUUCAAAAAUAAAAGAAAGGUUUUCUGAAACCUGAUUUAGGAUAUUAAUUUUAUAGACUCUGACCAGUGUUUUUCAUUAAACAGCAUGAGAGAAAGAUCAAACACCAACUAGUUUAAUCAUUUUUGAAGGACAUGGAUCAUUGCAUAAAAUAUUAUCCAUGGAAGGAAUGGUCAAUUAGUGUUUUACAGCAGAUUUAAUCCAAUAAGUAUGACAGUCAUACGUUUCCCUACUCUCACUCCUUUAGAGUUAAUAAGAACUGGAUCGGCACCUCACAAAUUAUGUCACCAAGAUUAUUUUUCCUAAUGGAUCUGGGAAUUGGAUUACAUUUUGCAUCUUAGUAAGGAUUGAUGUUUGGCACAGUUAAAUAUUCUUGCUCUGUGGGUCAGUUAUUUGAACCACGGACAAGAGAGGGUCUGCACAGAAAGCAGAAGAGAGUUAAGCAGAAACACGACUGCCUGGUUACAGACAGCUCUCUAAUUCUUGGCUUCAGGAGUCUCUAAAGCUUCUUCCAGUGCGGUAGCCAUUUGCCACUUGUGAGCAUUGAGCACUUAAAGGGCGUUUAGCCCACACUGAGUUGUUCGGCAUAAGAUACACAUUUAGAAAACUACAAAACAAGCAAAAUGUCUCCUUUUAUACUUAUCCCAAGUUGAAACGAUAAUAUUUUAAAUAUAUUAAAAUUAACUUCACCUAUUUCCUUUUACUUUUCUUUGAUAUGCAUACUGGAAAAUUUAAAAUUGUUAAUGUGUUUCAUAAUGUGCUGCUAUUAGACAAAUGUGCUUUACAGAUCCAGCUACUAUGAUUGUACAAAAUGCUGCUACCUAUAAAAGCAACCCUUCCACCCUACCUCUCUUUUCUUUCACUGAAACUAGACUAAGUUAGCUUUAAUGUAAAUGACAACAAAAAAAAAUCUUUGCUAUAUUUGAGCACUUCUGACUGGUCCAAUAUAAAGUAUCUCAUGCACUAGUCUGAUUUUACCUUGGG